CCUAAAGCCCCUUUCUAAGUUUUUUUGUUCUCCUUUGCUUUAUUUGACAAGACAGGUUUCUCUGUACAGCCCUGGCUGGCCUGGGACUCACUCUGCAGACUAGGUUGGCCUCGAUAUCAGAGAUCCACAUGCCUCUGCCUCCCCAGUGCUAGUACUAAAGGCAAGCGCCACCAUAGCAGGUCCUGUUCUAGUUUUUGUUCUUCCUCCUCAUUUACUCUUUUCCUAGUGAUUUUCUUUCUUUUCAGUAGUGUUUCCUUUACAUUUUGGACUGAUUCCCAUCACUUGUAUGUCAUAAUGCAGUGUGGCAUCUCAGCUCAUACAAUCAUCGUACACUGCUCGAUCUCAGUCCCCUUACUAGCCUCAGUUAUUAGGGAUUUUCUUAAUGUCCACAUAUGAGAGAAAAAAUAUGUAAUACUCACCCUUCUGUGUCUGCCUUAUUUUACUUAGCAUACUGUUCUUCAGUUUUGUGUUUUUAUGUAGAUGGAAUUUCCUUCUUUUUUAUUGAACAGUAUAUAAUUAUAUAUAUAUUUCUGCAUCUAUUUACUCAUUGCGUGUUACCCAGUCUGAUUCCAUGCAGUAGCUGUUCGGUCAUAAAACACGUGAGUAUGCCUUUACUGUGCUUAUUUUAUUUCUUUGGAUACAUGAAGAAGUGGGACAGGUGGAUCCUGUAAAAGAAAUAUUUUCAACGUCCACAUUGUUUUCCAUAAUGAUUAUGCUAAUUUACAGUCCUAUUAACAGUUAUUCUCCCGCCCCCUUGUCGUUUGCCCUGAAGUUACCUGUAUUUUGAUGCUAAUUCCACUGCCCCAAGGACAGCUGCCUAGUCACAAAUUUAGAACUCAGGUGACUUCACCAGAACCACCUCCCCACUGAAUUUGUAAAGUACAGGUGAGGGGCAGAUACAGGAUAGAAGGAGGCCUAUCAUUGGAGGAGAAGGAAGGAUGGGCGGGAGAGAAGUUUGAAGGAAGAGGAGGAGACUAGAACAGAGAGGAAGAGACAGGGGAGGGAGAGAGGGGAGAAGCCAUGGCAGGUGAUGUUAAGAUUCUGCUCUGUGUAUUUACAGGUUGUUAUUGAUGUUCCCAAGGGAUGGAUGGUACUGGGCUUUGUAUGUUUAGGUGGGCAAUUAUAUCUUACCAAUUGGGUCAAAGAUUAUUGUGGUGUGUGUUUUUUUUUUUUUUUUUUUUUGUUCUUUUUUUCGGAGCUGGGGACCAAACCCAGGGCCUUGUGCUUCCUAGGUAAGCGCUCUACCACUGAGCUAAAUCCCCAGCCCCGGUGUGUGUUCUUUUAUGUGAGGGUUUGAGUAUAGGAAAGCAUGUGGCUGGGAUGUGUUUCUGCCAAGGUAUCUAGCAGAUAUCUUGGGGCACCCACUGCGGUGUGGACCUAGCAGGGUAAAAGACACCAGUACUCUUUUACUUUUAUAUUUUUACAACACCCCCCCCCCUUUUCUUUUAUUCCACAGCAGACAGUCUAGAUUUUCACCACUAUUUUCCAUUGCAUCUUCAUCAGAUUAGAACGGACACUCCUCCACUGCUGGUGGGAUUGCAAACUUGUACAACUACUUUGGAGAUCAAUUUGAUUGUUCCUCAGAAAACUCGGAAUAGUUCUAUCUCAAGACCCAGCUAUACCACUCCUGAGCAUAUACCCAAACGAUGCUCCAUCAUCCCACAAAGACACAUGCUCAACUAUGUUCAUAGCAGCUUUAUUCAUAAUAGCCAGAAACUGGAAACAACCUAGAUGUCUCUCAACUGAAGAAUGGAUAAAGAAAAUGUUAAUAUAUCCACACGAUGUGAUACUACUCAACUAUUAAAAACAAAGACAUCAUGAAUUUUGCAGGUGGAUUUACACACUGCCUUCGUCUUUACUGGUGAUUGGAAUUUGGGAAACUAGCUUCCUUACUCUUCCAGAGCCAACUGCACAAUGGACAUAUUAGUACUGAUGUUACAGAGUGAAUAUGAGGACCAAGUAGGAACAAGGGUGCAAGGUUUGCCAGAGGGCAGGUUAAAAACAUCUCUGUCCACACUCUGUGCAAUCCACUGGGUUCUAAUAAAUGUAUGUAAAAAAAAAAUCUUAUCUCAAGAGACAAGAGUGAGUCAUUUCUGUGUUAUUUAAUACCAACCAGUCCUUGCUCGGGAACGAAUACAAAUAAAAGUUCUUCAAAAGUAGCCCUAAGGCAAGAGCUGAGCCU